rnacentral:lncRNA from 1 species
CUUAAAACAAAAGCAAGGAGUGGUGCGUUCGUUGAAAUCCGUACUAGUAGAUUACGUCAUUUUUUCAAUUAAUACAUUUAUACCUAUGGAACUGUCAACAGAUGAAUCUCAUUUUGAAGUAGCACCUGUAGUGUACGCACAUUUUUUUCUUUCCUAUGUCAUUACCAUCUGAACAAUGUGCGAGCAUAUCAAAAUUCACUCCGAGAUCUUAAAUUGACAAAAACCGAUGAUAAGUUCAUAGGACAGGAUGUAACUCUUAAAUCCACAGC